UGGAAAUUCAAGCAACACACAUCAAAGUUGCUGGUGAAUGCAGCAGGCCAGGCAGCAUCUCUAGGAAGAGGUACAGUCGACGUUUCAGGCCGAGACCCUUCGUCAGGACUAACUGAAGGAAGAGUCAUUCCCAGAGUCCUGCCUAAUAUUAAACCUCCAGUCAACAUUGCUGGAAUCCACUUAGCUGGCUUUUAUCAUAUUCCUGUUGGUGGGAGGUUCCCUUUUGUUUCCUUCAAUUCAACUUCAAACUGGACUUUGUUAGUUGUAAGAUACUUCAGGACAUUCUGAAAGGAUGUUGUGUAAGUGCAAUGUUAUUUUGUUUAAUAUGGCCAGUCAUGAUGAAGUGUCUUGGCCUGAAACACCAGCUCUUUAUUCCUCUCUUUAGAUGCUGCCUGACCUGUUGAGUUGCUUUAGUAUUUCAUAUGUAUUAAUCUGGAUUUCCAGUAUCUGCAGAAUUUCUUGUGUUUACAUUAUGUUGUUUAACUGAUUCUAAUAUUCUUACCGAGGGAAGGCCACACUGUUGAAUUUGCCUCAUAUUGGGCAUUAUGGACUGGGUACUACUAGCUGCUAGCUGGCUUGUCUUCAGCCUCUGAAUCUGCACAUUGAAAAAGGGAUGUUAGAGACAUACUGGAGGACAGAUACCAGCACAUCUUCACUGCUGGGCGUACUACUGAGUGCAGCUUCAGAGAAGAGACAUCCUGAGUGGGGGAACUGGCUUCACGCCCCAUCUGACUGCAUAUCUGUUGCUGGUGUUGCAGAGUCAACAUGCCUAGGUACAGAGUAAGUGCAAGCAUCAUCUCCAAUGAAGAUGGCAGAGUUUGUUAUCAAAACAUCAGUUAUAAUCAAUAUCUGUACCCAGCUGGAACCCUGAGAAGAGUUUAUUCAUCAAUAACCAAGAGGUUAUCAAGCUGAACACACAAUCACUUGAAGAGAUCCUCUGCAGAGGGAAUCAGGGAGUAAAAAGCACAAUGUUAAUCUCGUAUUUGAGUGUACAAGAAAGAUUGAA